rnacentral:rRNA from 1 species
UACGUAGGGGGCAAGCGUUGUCCGGAUUUAUUGGGCGUAAAGAGCGUGUAGGCGGUCAGGCAGGUCAGUUGUGAAAACUGGAGGCUCAACCUUCAGACGUCGACUGAAACCCCCUGGCUAGAGUCCGGGAGAGGAGAGUGGAAUUCCUGGUGUAGCGGUGGAAUGCGCAGAUAUCAGGAAGAACACCCGUGGCGAAAGCGGCUCUCUGGAACGGUACUGACGCUGAGACGCGAAAGCGUGGGGAGCGAACAGG